UUCCCCAUGCUGUUUUUGCUCCCCCCACCCUUAAAUACUUCUCAAGAUUCCCUGCUUAUUUAGCAUGAUGUUGGGGUUUUGAGGGAUCAAUAAGUAAUAUCCUGUUUCCCCAUCCUAACUCUGGAAUCAACCCAGAGACAGAUGUAAGAUAUCAAUAGAAGAAAAUUGCUGUAGUUGUUGUUAGGUGCCCUUGCGUCGGCCAUAGCGACCCUAGGUACAACAGAACGAAACACUGCCUUGUCCUGCACCAUCCUCACAAUCGUUGUUAUGCUUGAGCCCAUUGUUGCAGCCACUGUGUCAGUCCAGCUUGUUGAUGGCCUUCCUCUUUUUUGUUGACCCUGUACUUUACUAAGCAUGAUGAAAAUUAUCAUUUAAUGUAUCACUGUGUUAAAAAGAAAGCUAAUUUCUGGAAUUAGAAUGUUCCAGACAUAAGCCUUUUUAAUUGACUUAUUAGCCUCUGAAUUCCGUAUGUUCAUUGAGUGGUAUUUCUGCUUUAACUCAAAAGCAACUUAUUCUUUGUGUAGUAAGAACCUCCACUAAUUGUUAUUUGUUCACUAAUAAAUAUACUACUUUUACCUAGGUGAAAUCACAAUUUGGAUUUCUUAAGAUUGAUGGCAAAGUAGAUGGACGCCCCCAAAUUAGACAGGGUUACCCAUUUUGCCACUGGAACUGGACAAGCAGAUUUCUUUCUCCAUCACAGAGCGAUGACCGCAAUUCAUGCCUUCAAGCCUCAAGGUGUCACUGACAGAGGAAUGGCUUAUGUUGAACUUGCCAAGUUAAUUAUCCCAAACUUUCAACAAGGUAAGUGGAAUAGGAUGAACUCAGUUUCAUGGAAACUUAAUAAGCCCUAAGACGCAACCACAAACAAAUUGAUGAUUUCGUUACAACUGAUAAAGAUGCUGGUGCUGGUUCCCGUGUUGGUGGAGGUGCUGAGAUCUUCACUAUGGCCAGAAAUAAGACUAUGAAAAAAGAAUGGACUGGGCUUGGCACAGGAGAAUCGGACUUGAACUGUUGAUAUCACAGGCCUGGCAAUCUGCUUCCAAAAGGUCACAGCCUUGAAAACCCUAUGGAGAAGUUCUACUCUGCACACAUGGGUUACUAUGAGUCAGAGUCAACUCAACGGCAACUAACAACAACAGUCCAACAGAUGAGAUUAUUUUAGGCUGAAUAAACCAGAUUUAGGGAAAUGUCAUAUACUGCAACUCCCUAAGCACACUUUAUGUGUGUCACUCACCCUGCCGCAGGGCGUUGAAUAAGAUAUGAACUGGGAGAAUUGGGGUAUUUCCCUCUCAUUGGAGUCCCAAAGGGUGAAUGGAGCCUGGACUCUGGGUGGACUGAAAUGAACAAAUAAGGCGGCCUUUGGUGGGAGAUGCUCGUGCUUUGUGAAGGCAAACUCAGAACCAAGCCAGGCGUUCAGAUAGUAGGGAGCUCCUGUGAGAAAACCCCGUGUUAUGGAGAGAGAAACGUCUGGAACCAGAGGUGAGAAGCCAUAACUAAGACAUAUUUAUUGGACUACAUAACACUUCCCUGGGGAUUCCCAGAAAUACAAAGGCUAAAAAACUGUUACUAGAUAUGGACUUAAUACAUUUCCACAGAAUGGGCUGUCAGACAGAGAGUGGGACUUUUGUGAACAGAAAUAUUAACCAAUGAGAGUUUAAAGAAAAAUUAACCAAUGGCAAACUGAGGUAUAUUUAAGUUACACAUGUGACUUGCACUCAUCUCAUAGUGACCCUACAGAACAGAGUAGAACUGCCCCAUAGAGUUUCCAAGGAGCGCCUGGUGGAUUCAAACUGCUGACCUUUUGGUUAGCAGCCAUAGCACUUAACCACUAAGCCAUCAGGAGUUUGUAAUAUUCUUUUGAGUAGGAGUCACUUUACAUUUGAAGUCUAACCUGAAACAUUUUCUUUGGUGCCCCAGCGCUAUGACACUUUCUGUACAAUGCCCAUUAACAGCCAGGAAGCAACAAAAAAUGGGCAAUUCUGUUGACAUAUGCGUGACCAACAACACUAUACAAACCGUUAUGGGACACCAUUAAGGAGCACCAUUCAUGUCCCUAUUAGCAUUAUGAGGCAGACCCUGGGAAGUACACCUUGUCUAGGUGCCCUUGUUUUAGGUAUAGAAAAACGGGGGAAAAUUAUUGAAGAAACCAUUUCAGAAAUGGAAUCUGGAGCCAUGUAUGGAGAGUAAAAGGAACAUGCACCCAGGAUCACAUUUCAAGAUUCAGUAGACAGUUUUGGAGGGUCUAUAAGAGCAGUAACAGAUGCUCACAUAGUGAAGCAAUGUUUCAAAUGUUUAGUCCUGAGGCCAAAGCUAAGCUUGAAACUAGAUGGAGUAGCUAGGCAUCAGACAAGAGAGCCUCCAAGGAGAGAGGUGGAAUCUGUACUAGGAAACAGCAAGGGCAUCUACGUGCUAUUGAAAGGAGCGGGCUCAAAGUAGGCAAGGAUGGCUUGAGAAAUGUGGCAGAGAAUGUACUACUUUCUCCGUUUGCUUUUUUUGAUGCAGUAAUGGCUCCACGGUAAGAGAAGUAGGCCACUUUCUUAAAAAUUUAUUUUGAUGCAGGCAUUUUGACUGGGGAAAUUUCACACAACGGUUUUAAUGAAGCCAUGUCAAAAUGAUUCUAUUAAAAUAUGAAAAUAUCAGCUUUUUAUUAUCAAAAGGUAUCCCUUUCACUUAUUCUACCCAUAGUUUAUGCCUUACUUACAGAAAAAAUUCACUUCUUUUAAACUUUUAAUAACUAUGUUUUACUUGUAUUUUUAAUCUUAAUAGGUUUUUAAAUUAUAGAGGCAAAAGGAGGCAAUUUUUUUAAAUGGUACAAAAUUGUAUAACGAAAUGUAUGAAGUAAGGAAGUGAAAUUCUUUGGUCCCCUCUAUUCCCACAUUCAGGAGUUAACCACCCUUAACAGUUUAUUUGAACCAUCCCAAGAAUAGUCAGAGGAAAUUUCUUGGACAGCGGUGAAAAAUAAAGUUCUAGUUAAAUUCUCAGAGGUAACCUACUAGUCAAGUCUAUAGGAAGAUGUUCUGUUCAACUGUAUAAAAAAUUAAACUUAGGAUAAAAUGUUGGCUGAUGCACUGAGGUAAUACACACUGUGCUGCAAAGUGGAGUUAGAAAAUUUUUGUUACACAAUUUUUAAAGGAAGUGUCAAAAAACAAUUUUACUAUUUUUAAAUUCCUUACCUCCACCAGAGUAUUAAAAGGUUAGGAGAAUUGAAGAUGAAUACUUCUGUAGAGAAGUAUUUGGAUGGUAUAACUCUCCUGACCCAUGGUGGGCAGGGUGGAGAAGUUUACCCCUCUUAUAGUCAGUCAAGACAGAAGGGCCUUGAAAAGACCACUGGAAAUGUUGGACACGUGCUGGGCAGAGUGAACUGGGGUCUGACCUCCACCUGAGAAAUCCAGUGGGUAAGGGACCAACUUUGAUAAAUUUGAUAAAGAAAUCCUAGAUGAUUCGGACUUAGUAAACCCAGUGGUUUUCCUCAAGUGGUAUAAAAAAUAAUUUCAUAAGGAAUAAUACCAUCAUUCAUUGUUUAUAAAUUAGAAAAGUUCAUUUCAAAAGAAAUUUUGAUAUGUGAGACCUAAUACUCUUAGUUUUGUUUGAAAAUGUAAUACUUCGUUCUACAGUAAGGAGAAAUAAAAAUGUAUACACACGAAUACACCCAUGUAAUUUUACACACAAUGCCUUUUUGUAUCACAUAACUUCUUUUCCAUGAAAUUUGCAAAUCUAGUUUAAAGAGACAAUUUGUCAAAAUCACAUUAUAGAGAUUGGAAGUAUACAUUUAAGAUUGGUGAAUUUUCCUGUAUGUAAUUUAUACCUUCAUGAAUCUGAUUAAAACUUGCAUUAUCUGAAAAAAUUGAUUAAAACUUACUGAACAGAAUAGGAUAAUAUAAGUUCAUGGAGUAUAAUUCAGAAGUGCCAUGGUAAACGGGUGGCUGUGAUAUUCAUAUAUAACAACCUUGAUAACCAAGUUACAAAAUAUAACGUUGUCUCUGCUUUUGGCUCUACAACAGUCAUUUAUGUUUGCUGUCUUUCAUGUUUACUUUCCCACUGAUUUGACAUCAAGUCCUGGCCCAUUACAUGUAGAAACUGAGUGAUUACUUUUUGAAAUAUAGGUUCUAUGCUUGCCAGAUGGAUUUGGAAGUUCUCCCAGUAAUGCUUUUAUUGUCAUAAUCCACUUCACAAUUCCAUCAUGAAUGAGGGCAUUAGGGAAUGACAUCAUUUUCAAUACCUCCCAGAUUCUUAAAUAUUCUAAAAUAUAAUAGCCCUUGAUUUUUGUUUCUCUUACAUGAUCAAUAAGCAGGGCAUAAAUUCCUAAAUCACACACAUAUAGGCACGCACAGGCAAUGUAACUUGAAAUCGUGAUUUAUGUAACCGGAGGAAUUUCUAAGCACUUACUUGGCUGUGGGUGGUCAUGGAGUGCUAAAGGCUUUAGGAAAUAGUAUGGGGGGUCUAAGAGCCAGGCCACAGGAGGAGGACACCAACAGUCGGUAGAUAAAUUCAGACGGGACAUAAAAGAGCACUUAGGAGUUUUUCCUGCUUUUUUUCCUCCUGUAUGAAAUCGACUCGACGGCACUGGGUUUUUUUUUUUAUGAAAAGUUGCUGCUGUCUUUAAAAAGAGGAAUUGUGUAGUGAGAGCACAAAGUUCCCCUUUAUUCAUUCAUUCAUACCACCACACACUCAACAAGUAAACAAGUACUUGUGAUAUAUAUAAGAUGUGUAACACAUAGUAUGUGUACUGGGGUUAUAGAUGUGAAGUAGUUAGAUAUGGCCUCUGCCCCUAAGAGCUUAAAUUCUAGUUGGAGAGAUGGUCGAUCAUUAACCAAUUACAGGGAGAAUUUUUCAGCAUUAUGAAAAAAAAAAGUAUAUGUUUCUAUAAAAGCUUACAGCAAAAGGUCAUAUGCUGAGCUAGAAGGUUCUGAAAAUCCCCCUUGGGCUUAACUUUGCGGGAUAAUUAUGAAUCAACUACAUGAGGAAGGGAGUCCUGGUGGUGCAGUGGUUAAGCAAUCGGCUGUUCACCAAAAGGUCGGCAGUUCUAAUUCACCAGCUGCUCCUUGGAAACCCUGGGGGCAGUUCUCCUCUGUCCUAUAGGGUUGCUAUGAGUUGGAAUCGACUCAACGGCAACAGGUUUAUAUGAGGAAGUGUGGUGUGUGGAGGAAAAUGUUCUAGGAAGAAGACCAUCCCGUGCAAAGUUCUGAAGACAGAAAAGAACACUACUGUACUCGCAACUUGACAGGACAGGAUUCUGAAGCUGGUAAGGAAAAGGCAGCUCUCUCUUUCACUAAAAAUAUUCACUUCUACCAGAAAAAUACAUUUGGAUAAAAGUUUCUCCUUCUUUAAAAUCAAAUAUCUUCUGAAAGGAUGACAUCAAUCACAUCUUAACAUGAUUUAUACAACAUAAAAAUAUAAUUUGGUUCUUAAGCAAUGGUUUUGGAGAGGAAGGUGACGGCCACAUGUGGAACAACCCUGCUUAUAUACUCAAAGCUAGCAGAUUGGAACUAUGAUGGAUACCACUUACAAAUUCUAGCCCAGUGCUAUGGUAAUGCUAGAUAAUUGAACAGCGUUCGACAAAUAGUUACAGGGUGCUUGUUACGUCCCAGCCACUAGCUGGCUUUAGAAGUCUUGGCCUGUCUUUUUGCAGUGCCCAUAUGGGUAAUGACAGCAAUAGUCGGAGAGACACAAAUGAAUAGGACUGACGAAGAUUUGACCUCUGAACUUUCUAUUUCCUGCUGGGUGGCCCUCACUUUCCAGGUGUUUACCAGAGAUUGUUGCAAAUAGGGGUAAUUACAGACACAGCUGCUCUGAGCUGUCCUCAAUGAGAUUCCUAUAGUAUAUAACAGGAGGUUUUCUUAUGCAGAGAAAUAACUUGUUUAACAGGGCCUACUAAGGAUGGAAAUUAAAACAAUACCCAAUAUUGUUUUUAAAGCCAUAGGCUGUUUUUAGAGCUCCAUAAACCUUUUGCAUUUUUGGGUGGUAGCACGAGCGUACAGACUUAUUUUUACUGUUUUGAUUGGGGGUGUUUGCAUCAUAGAACAUCUGAAGAAAUUGCUGAAUUAUACAUUUGGUAGGUUGUAUUACUGUUCACAAUUAUGCAUGGUACUCCUUCCUUACAAGUGGUUUAUACAUCCCAGUCCGUUGCCAUGAAGAUUGCCUGCUUGCUGUUGUGGGGAGUAUACAUUUUCCCCCCUUCCUCAAUGAUCAUGGAUUUAACAAGGUAAUUUUCGCUGGCCAGGGGAAUGUGAACAGAUACGACUAUAUGACUAAAGGAAAUUCUAAGGUUUGGCUCAGCAUCUUGCUUUUUGUCUCAGCCCCAGGAACGAGUGUGUCGCACAUAAGGGCGGCAGCUUCAUCCUUUACCUCAGAGUAGGGAGACACGUGGAGCCAGACCAAGCAGAGCCACUGUGGCUGCAUCAUCCAGUAACUGCCCACAUGAAACAUGAACCGGACUUAAAUGCUUGUUUUGGUAAGCCCGUGAGAUUUUAGUGUUGUCUGUUACACAGCAAAGCUGAGAAUUUCAGAAAUUAGUACCUAAAAAUGGAGUGUUAACAUAAUAAAAAAUAUUAAAAUAUGUGACAUUGACCUUUUGGAGUUAGACAGCUGGCAGUGAGGAAAUUAUUAUCGGAGACUAGAAAACUGGUGACCCACCUUGUACAGCAACAAAACACUUGAUAAAACUGUCACUGAGGUAACGUGGAAGGCAAGCGUGUACAUAAUGUAAUUAACGCUUUCUGAGAGAAGGAUUUGAAACAAACUAUUACUAAUAUGGGUUGAUUAUUAGAAGCUAUGUUUGAUUAAAGUAAUAGAAGAAAGAGAAGAAGCUAAAAAAAAAAAAAGAAGUGGCUUGUUUAAUAUCGGGGAUGAAAACAAAAUGAGAGAGUUGAGGAAUUCCAGGACUUGAUGGUGGACAGUUCAAACAAUUUCUCAUCCCUAACUGGUUAAAAGAUAAAUGUUUUGAGUAAUAAAGGCAAACUAAGACUGCAUUUAGGGAAAAGGCCAAAUUAAUGGCAUAUCCACAAAGCCUUCAGAUUGAACUAAAAUGUCACUCAGUAAAUCCUUUCAGCGGGACAAAAUGGCUUGGAAAACAAACAACAGCAACAAAAAAAACAACUGAAGGAGUGACCUCAUGAAGCCUGAUGACCUUAAGCACUGGUACUUAGAAAGGCAGAUCUGUAAAAGCACGAUGCGUGUGUCUGUCACUAUACAGAGCAGAAUAUAAUCAUAUAUGUAUUUAUACUUAUUUAUGGAAACCUUGGUGGCGUAGUGGUUAAGAGCUAUGGCUGCUUACCCAAAGGUUGGCAGUUAGAAACCACCAGGUGCUCCUUGGAAACUCUAUGGGGGCAGUUCUACUCUGUCCUCUGGGGUUGCUAUGAGUCAGAAUCGACUCAAUGGCAACAGGUUUUUUUUUUUUAAUAUUUAUUUAUAUAAAGUUUUUCAGGGUUGUUAUGCCAAAAGUGUUUCCAGCCUAAAAUACAAAAGUAUGUAUGACUUUUUAUGGCUUAAAAUGAACUGUGGGCCUCCAACUUUCUUUGGUCAAGAAGCAGGUCAAAAAGUUGCUCAGCCCCAAGAAGGAUAUGUUUUCCAAUUUCCUUUAUCAGAUGUGGUCA